AGUGAACGCUGGCGGUAGGCCUAACACAUGCAAGUCGAACGGCAGCACAGUAAGAGCUUGCUCUUACGGGUGGCGAGUGGCGGACGGGUGAGGAAUACAUCGGAAUCUACUUUUUCGUGGGGGAUAACGUAGGGAAACUUACGCUAAUACCGCAUACGACCUACGGGUGAAAGCAGGGGAUCUUCGGACCUUGCGCGAUUGAAUGAGCCGAUGUCGGAUUAGCUGGUUGGCGGGGUAAAGGCCCACCAAGGCGACGAUCCGUAGCUGGUCUGAGAGGAUGAUCAGCCACACUGGAACUAAGACACGGUCCAGACUCCUACGGGAGGCAGCAGUGGGGAAUAUUGGACAAUGGGCGCAAGCCUGAUCCAGCCAUACCGCGUGGGUGAAGAAGGCCUUCGGGUUGUAAAGCCCUUUUGUUGGGAAAGAAAAGCAGCAGGUUAAUACCCCGCUGUUCUGACGGUACCCAAAGAAUAAGCCCCGGCUAACUUCGUG
rnacentral:rRNA from 1 species